GGGUCUAGCUCAGUGGCAGAGCACAUGCUUAGCAUGCACGAGGUCCUGGGUUCAAUCCCCAGUACCUCCA
rnacentral:tRNA from 1 species